rnacentral:rRNA from 1 species
CCUACGGGGGGCUGCAGUGGGGAAUAUUGCACAAUGGGCGCAAGCCUGAUGCAGCCAUGCCGCGUGUGUGAAGAAGGCCUUCGGGUUGUAAAGCACUUUCAGCGGGGAGGAAGGCGGUGAGGUUAAUAACCUCAUCGAUUGACGUUACCCGCAGAAGAAGCACCGGCUAACUCCGUGCCAGCAGCCGCGGUAAUACGGAGGGUGCAAGCGUUAAUCGGAAUUACUGGGCGUAAAGCGCACGCAGGCGGUCUGUCAAGUCGGAUGUGAAAUCCCCGGGCUCAACCUGGGAACUGCAUUCGAAACUGGCAGGCUAGAGUCUUGUAGAGGGGGGUAGGAUUCCAGGUGGAGCGGUGAAAUGCGUGGAGAUCUGGAGGAAUACCGGUGGCGAAGGCGGCCCCCUGGACAAAGACUGACGCUCAGGUGCGAAAGCGUGGGGAGCAAACAGGAUUAGAUACCCCGGUAGUC